UUAAGUUAUUAAGGGCGCACGGUGGAUGCCUUGGCACUAGAAGCCGAUGAAGGACGUUACUAACGACGAUAUGCUUUGGGGAGCUGUAAGUAAGCUUUGAUCCAGAGAUUUCCGAAUGGGGAAACCCAGCAUGAGUUAUGUCAUGUUAUCGAUAUGUGAAUACAUAGCAUAUCAGAAGGCACACCCGGAGAACUGAAACAUCUUAGUACCCGGAGGAAGAGAAAGAAAAUUCGAUUCCCUUAGUAGCGGCGAGCGAAACGGGAAGAGCCCAAACCAACAAGCUUGCUUGUUGGGGUUGUAGGACACUCUAUACGGAGUUACAAAGGACGACAUUAGACGAAUCAUCUGGAAAGAUGAAUCAAAGAAGGUAAUAAUCCUGUAGUCGAAAAUGUUGUCUCUCUUGAGUGGAUCCUGAGUACGACGGAGCACGUGAAAUUCCGUCGGAAUCUGGGAGGACCAUCUCCUAAGGCUAAAUACUCUCUAGUGACCGAUAGUGAACCAGUACCGUGAGGGAAAGGUGAAAAGCACCCCGGAAGGGGAGUGAAAUAGAACCUGAAACCGUGUGCUUACAAGUAGUCAGAGCCCGUUAAUGGGUGAUGGCGUGCCUUUUGUAGAAUGAACCGGCGAGUUACGAUUUGAUGCAAGGUUAAGCAGUAAAUGUGGAGCCGUAGCGAAAGCGAGUCUGAAUAGGGCGUUUAGUAUUUGGUCGUAGACCCGAAACCAGGUGAUCUACCCUUGGUCAGGUUGAAGUUCAGGUAACACUGAAUGGAGGACCGAACCGACUUACGUUGAAAAGUGAGCGGAUGAACUGAGGGUAGCGGAGAAAUUCCAAUCGAACCUGGAGAUAGCUGGUUCUCUCCGAAAUAGCUUUAGGGCUAGCCUCAAGUGAUGAUUAUUGGAGGUAGAGCACUGUUUGGACGAGGGGCCCCUCUCGGGUUACCGAAUUCAGACAAACUCCGAAUGCCAAUUAAUUUAACUUGGGAGUCAGAACAUGGGUGAUAAGGUCCGUGUUCGAAAGGGAAACAGCCCAGACCACCAGCUAAGGUCCCAAAAUAUAUGUUAAGUGGAAAAGGAUGUGGCGUUGCCCAGACAACUAGGAUGUUGGCUUAGAAGCAGCCAUCAUUUAAAGAGUGCGUAAUAGCCCACUAGUCGAGUGACACUGCGCCGAAAAUGUACCGGGGCUAAACAUAUUACCGAAGCUGUGGAUUGUCCUUUGGACAAUGGUAGGAGAGCGUUCUAAGGGCGUUGAAGCAUGAUCGUAAGGACAUGUGGAGCGCUUAGAAGUGAGAAUGCCGGUGUGAGUAGCGAAAGACGGGUGAGAAUCCCGUCCACCGAUUGACUAAGGUUUCCAGAGGAAGGCUCGUCCGCUCUGGGUUAGUCGGGUCCUAAGCUGAGGCCGACAGGCGUAGGCGAUGGAUAACAGGUUGAUAUUCCUGUACCACCUAUAAUCGUUUUAAUCGAUGGGGGGACGCAGUAGGAUAGGCGAAGCGUGCGAUUGGAUUGCACGUCUAAGCAGUAAGGCUGAGUAUUAGGCAAAUCCGGUACUCGUUAAGGCUGAGCUGUGAUGGGGAGAAGACAUUGUGUCUUCGAGUCGUUGAUUUCACACUGCCGAGAAAAGCCUCUAGAUAGAAAAUAGGUGCCCGUACCGCAAACCGACACAGGUAGUCAAGAUGAGAAUUCUAAGGUGAGCGAGCGAACUCUCGUUAAGGAACUCGGCAAAAUGACCCCGUAACUUCGGGAGAAGGGGUGCUCUUUAGGGUUAACGCCCAGAAGAGCCGCAGUGAAUAGGCCCAAGCGACUGUUUAUCAAAAACACAGGUCUCUGCUAAACCGUAAGGUGAUGUAUAGGGGCUGACGCCUGCCCGGUGCUGGAAGGUUAAGAGGAGUGGUUAGCUUCUGCGAAGCUACGAAUCGAAGCCCCAGUAAACGGCGGCCGUAACUAUAACGGUCCUAAGGUAGCGAAAUUCCUUGUCGGGUAAGUUCCGACCCGCACGAAAGGCGUAACGAUUUGGGCACUGUCUCAACGAGAGACUCGGUGAAAUCAUAGUACCUGUGAAGAUGCAGGUUACCCGCGACAGGACGGAAAGACCCCGUGGAGCUUUACUGUAGCCUGAUAUUGAAAUUCGGCACAGCUUGUACAGGAUAGGUAGGAGCCUUUGAAACGUGAGCGCUAGCUUACGUGGAGGCGCUGGUGGGAUACUACCCUAGCUGUGUUGGCUUUCUAACCCGCACCACUUAUCGUGGUGGGAGACAGUGUCAGGCGGGCAGUUUGACUGGGGCGGUCGCCUCCUAAAAGGUAACGGAGGCGCUCAAAGGUUCCCUCAGAAUGGUUGGAAAUCAUUCAUAGAGUGUAAAGGCAUAAGGGAGCUUGACUGCGAGACCUACAAGUCGAGCAGGGUCGAAAGACGGACUUAGUGAUCCGGUGGUUCCGCAUGGAAGGGCCAUCGCUCAACGGAUAAAAGCUACCCCGGGGAUAACAGGCUUAUCUCCCCCAAGAGUUCACAUCGACGGGGAGGUUUGGCACCUCGAUGUCGGCUCAUCGCAUCCUGGGGCUGUAGUCGGUCCCAAGGGUUGGGCUGUUCGCCCAUUAAAGCGGUACGCGAGCUGGGUUCAGAACGUCGUGAGACAGUUCGGUCCCUAUCCGUCGUGGGCGUAGGAAAUUUGAGAGGAGCUGUCCUUAGUACGAGAGGACCGGGAUGGACAUACCUCUGGUGUACCAGUUGUCGUGCCAACGGCAUAGCUGGGUAGCUAUGUGUGGACGGGAUAAGUGCUGAAAGCAUCUAAGCAUGAAGCCCCCCUCAAGAUGAGAUUUCCCAACUUCGGUUAUAAGAUCCCUCAAAGAUGAUGAGGUUAAUAGGUUCGAGGUGGAAGCAUGGUGACAUGUGGAGCUGACGAAUACUAAUCGAUCGAAGACUUAAUCAA
rnacentral:rRNA from 1 species